GACGAACGCUGGCGGCGUGCUUAACACAUGCAAGUCGAACGGGCCUGUCUUCUUUUUUGGGGGUGGGUUGAGUGGCGAACGGGUGAGUAUCACGUGAGUAACCUGCCCUUCGGUCCUGGAUAACCGCUUGAAAGGGCGGCUAAUACGGGGUGGUCCGGUUGGUCCGCAUGGGCUGGUCGGGAUAGAUUCACUGUUUUUGGUGUUUCGGCGGGGGAUGGGCUCGCGGCCUAUCAGCUUGUUGGUGGGGUGAUGGCCUACCAAGGCGGUGACGGGUAGCCGGCGUGAGAGGGUGGGCGGCCACACUGGGACUGAGAUACGGCCCAGACUCCUGAGGGAGGCAGCAGUGGGGGGUAUUGCACAAUGGGCGGAAGCCUGAUGCAGCGACGUCGCGUGGGGGAUGGAGGCCUUCGGGUUGUGAACCUCUGUUUCCGGUGGUGAAGGCCCUGUCCGUGUGGUGGGGUUGACGGUAGCCGGGGAUGAAGCGCCGGCUAACUACGUG
rnacentral:rRNA from 1 species